rnacentral:rRNA from 1 species
GACGAACGCUGGCGGCGUGCUUAACACAUGCAAGUCGAACGGUGAAGCGCCUUCUUUUUUGGUGGGUGUGGAUGAGUGGCGAACGGGUGCGUAACACGUGAGUAACCUGCCCCCUUCUUCUGGAUAACCGCAUGAAAGUGUGGCUAAUACGGGAUAUUCUGGGUCUGUCGCAUGAUGGGUCUGGGAAAGAUAUUGUUUCGGUGGGGGAUGGGCUCGCGGCCUAUCAGCUGGUUGGUGGGGAGAUGGCCUACCUAGGCGGUGACGGGUAGCCGGCCUGAGAGGGUGGGCGGUAACAGUGGGGAUGAGGCACGGCCAAGACUCCUACGGGAGGCAGCAGUGGGGAAUAUGGCACAAUGGGCGGGAGCCUGCUGCAGCGACGCCGCGUGAGGGAUGGAGGCCUGCGGGUUGUGAACCUCUUUCGCCAGUGAAGCAGGGCUGCCUCGUUUGUGGGUGGGUUGACGGUAGCUGGAUAAGAAGCGCCGGCUAACUACGUG